rnacentral:misc_RNA from 1 species
AUAAUUAAAACUAUAAAUUUUAGUUUUCAAAGUAUAAUUAAUUGUUUACUUUUUAAUUGAACUCAGUUUGCAUAAAUAUUGGAUAUACUCUGGAUAUUUUCAAUUUAAAAAAUCCAAAAGUGAAAAUUUCGCGCCACGUGCGUUGAUUGAUCACGUGGUACGCCAUCUUAUCGACCGAACAGUCAGCACAAGCUGUCAUUGGAUUUUCCAAGAUCACGUGACCUAUUAACUGACGUUCGUCCCCACCAGUCGUGUUCAUCGCGUACUAUCUGGUGCAAUCUAGUGUACGAGGAAUGAGGAUCGUCGGUGUGUACAGAUAUAAUACCGAGUGAAUAUAUAUGUAUAAUUGUGAGCGGGUGCUGUACUGGCUCCGGGACUGGGGAAAGUUACAGUAACAAACAAGCACGAGCAGGCAAAAGCUAUUACAGCCUGGCCAAGACCCUUGAGGUCUUAUGGAUUAAGAGAACAAAGGAUUUACAACGCCAAGUUUUUGUUAACGUUUAUCGGAGUAAUUAUUUGAUCAUAAUUGUCACCUGCCACAAUUGUGACCGUCUCAUUGUAAUUUUCAUUAUUUAUAUAUUUAUUUGAUUUAAUAAUAAUUAAAAUAUAAGUUCAAGUAGAACUAUUUAAUCAAUUGAACAUAAACACAAUAAUCAUUUGUUUCAUUUUAAUAUCAGUGAUAUCAGUUAUAUAAAUAUAUAUAGUUACACUUGUGAUUUAAAUUUGACAGUUUUUUUUUUUUUUUUUCGCUAAAUCUAUAUAUUUACAUAUUGUGUAUUUCUCGGAAAUGUAUGACGACAAAUCAAUACAUACAUCAGCUUUGCUUAAGUGAAACAACGUUGAAGUGGACUUUGAAUCGAGUUUAUAAUAAAUAUUAUUGUUUUACGAAAUACACAUAAGAUUAAUUGUUUUUAUAAAAUUUAUUUUUAAUAAUUGAAUGUCUUAUAAUAAGUAUCAUUGUGAUGAUUAGAUAAAUGAGACAUGAGUUAUUUUUUUUUUUAAUUAUUGUCCGAUAUUUAAUUGUUGUAAACAGAACAAAGAUUUAAAUAAUAGAUUGAUAAUUAACAACGAUUGGUUAAAUAGACGAGGCAUAUAAAAUGUACAGCAUGAACUACAUUGGCAAGUUCAUUAGCAACUUCCGUGAUUUUUACAAUGAAAUUAAUGCGGCUACUCUUACUGGAGCUAUUGAUGUCAUUGUCGUUGAGCAAGAUGAUGGAUCAUUCACUUGCUCGCCUUUUCAUGUCAGAUUCGGCAAACUUGGAGUUUUGAGAUCGCGAGAGAAAGUGGUGGAUAUCGAAAUAAAUGGAGAGCCAAGACAAAUUCAGAUGAAACUAGGUGACUCUGGAGAAGCUUUUUUCGUCGAAGAAGUAAGCUCACAUGGUCUUGAAAAUGGCACUGAAAUACCACCACACCUUGCUUGUUCACCUAUACCAGAUGACAAUUGCUUUCCACCUCCUAGAUUUCAUUUAUUAUCUGAUUUACCUCAAGAGCAGCAUGAAAAGAUACUACGCGAUUCAGUGCUGUCGAUAGAACGUGAAAAGUUGGAGCAGAUGUCUUCGUUGCCAGUAGAUCAACGUGAAAAAUUUUUAAUCGAACAAUUUUCGGAUUUACCUGCUGAACAUCGAGAAAAAUGGCUGCAAAUAGCUUCGAUGACAUACGAAGAGCGCAGUAAAAUAUUUGAAGAAAGUUUGAGUGCAAUGUCAACUCGACAAAAACAGCAAAUGAUACGUGAUGAAUAUUCGGCGUUGAAGAUAGAAGAUAGAGAACGGUUGUUUAAAGAAAAUUUUCCGGAACUGCCAGCUGAGCAGAGACCAAAGUUUGAGAAAGCAUUGUUGAAUGAUUGGAAAAGCAAAGAGGAUGACUAUGAAGAUGAAGAAAAAUGGAAAGGUCACAAUAAACUUUCGCUGCAAGCUGAGGAAGAAAUUUUUGAUAUGGAUAACAUCAAUGAAGAUGAAACUAAACCUGUGUCAACACCAAAAUCUUUCGUCGCUGUUACUUCAACGGAGAGAAUAAGAAAAAUAAGCGUUGUUAAUAAUGAUUUUAGACCUAUUACCGAUGAUCCGUCAAGUGAUGCUAGAGAAAAAACUUCACGUGAUGAAUCUAGUAUUGUGGAAAAAAAAUCUCAUGUUGAAGGAAUCACAGAUGAAGUUAAAGUUCAGACUUCAUCGUCAUCUAAACGUAAAAGGAGAAAGAAGAGUCUUAUGAAGAAAAAAGGAGCUCAAAGAAAAGCAAGCAAUGGAAGUAGCAGUCAAACAGAAGUCAGUGAGACUGAGACAACUCCACCAACUGAAGAAUCACAUAAUGAACCAGUAUUAAAGAACUCCAGUCCAAUCAUUGAAAGUGAAACCAAAACUACUGAAGAGUUACCACCACCAUCGGAUUAUCAUUUCUUCAGUGACACUGAAAUUACUAAGAACCGGGAUUCCAGGCCUUGCUCACCCGUACAAUCUGACACGGAAUUUGAGAUGCGUAAAAUUGAACAGCAACGUGAAGAAGGUAAAGAACACGAAGAUGACAAAAGCCAUCAGCAGAGUUGGAGAUGGGGUGAAUUACCAAGUCCACCAAUUGAUACGCCUCAUGCUCUUAACUCUGUUACAACUGUUAUUCAACCAAAUGACGCAGAGGCACAACGUUCUAUGCUCAGUGGUAUGUUCUCCUUCAUGAAGAAGACAUCGCGCGUAAGACACAAUCCAGAAUCAGAGGGCAUUUACCUGAGUGAUUUGAAUGCAGAUGAAUUGGAUCCUGAAGUAGCUGCCCUUUAUUUUCCCUCUUCCCAUCGCGGAACUACCGUGGCGAAAGGAGAUAAACAAGCUGACGAAGAAGAUACUGAAUCUGGUAAUGGCCCAAGCUUACCACAGAGUCCUAACAGCGUAGAGGGUGCUAUUGGAGGUCCAAAAUCACUGGAUAGUGAUUUUGAAGAAUCUAAACAAUCAUUGUUUGAGAAUAAUAUUGAUAUAAGUUUAUCAUUAUGUGGUGGCUUGGACACUGAUGACGGUCCGAGUGAUGAAUUAUUUCAACAAAAUUUACUUCAAUACGACGAUCUUUGUAAUGAUACUAAAUUAUACGAAAAUCCAAAUUUAGUAAUUAAAAUAAAUGGUAAAUAUUAUAAUUGGACAACAGCUUGUCCAAUUAUUAUUUCACUGGCUGCUUUUCAACGUGGCUUACCACAACAUACCAUUGAAAAUUUAUACGCGCAAUAUGGCUCACUGCCGAUGCACCAAGACAAUAAGAAAGAAACUGUCAGUAAAACAAACGAAACAAGAACCGGUUAUAGUUCAUGGUUCUCGUGGAGGCGUUCAUCGACACAGCCGCCUAAAAAACUUUCCGAAACCGUUGACCAAGACGGACAGUCAAUCCCGAUAGAAAACAGUCAACCUACUGAAUUAUUAGAGCCUGCAAUUGAUGUCGAAGAAAUUGACUCGCCAUCUAAAACUCUAGAAAAAGAAGAAGAAGAAGAAGAACAGGUGAUUGCAGAAUUAAAUGAUGUAGAGAAUGAUUCAUUGGGCAAGCCCGAAGAAAAUAAUAUGGUUCAGUCAUCAGUUGAACGAGCUAAUGAAAAACCGGAAGGCGAAGGGUACAGCGGAAGUGAAGACUCAGAUAGCAAUCCAAACGAGACUCAAGGAGUUAGAAUACCAGAACGACGAAGACCGUACUAUGAAUCUGGUGAAAAGUAUCGCAAAACAUUGAGACUUACGUCUGAACAAAUAGAAAGCUUAAAUCUUAAAGAAGGAUCUAAUGAAGUUGUAUUUAGUGUUACUACGGCUUAUCAAGGUACAUCACGUUGUAAGUGUCACAUUUAUCGAUGGAAAUGGAAUGAUAAAAUAGUAAUAUCUGACAUCGAUGGAACUAUUACGAAGUCUGAUGUAUUAGGACACAUUCUGCCAAUUGUAGGAAAAGACUGGGCCCAAUCGGGUGUUGCUCAACUUUUUACUAAGAUUAAAAAUAAUGGUUAUAAGUUAUUGUAUUUAUCAGCGCGUGCUAUUGGCCAAGCACGUGGUACAAGACAGUAUUUGAAAAGUAUAAAACAGGAUGAUCUUUCACUUCCCGAAGGACCUCUACUUUUGAAUCCCACCAGUCUUUUGUCUGCAUUCCAUCGGGAAGUUAUUGAGAAAAAACCUGAGCAGUUUAAAAUAUCUUGUCUCAGUGAUAUUCAGGCGCUAUUUCCUGAAGGUUCUAAUCCGUUUUACGCUGGAUAUGGCAAUCGAAUAAAUGAUGUGUGGGCUUAUAGAGCUGUUGGUAUUCCAAUUACACGAAUUUUUACAAUUAAUCAUCGUGGAGAGUUGAAACAUGAGUUGACUCAGACAUUCCAGUCAUCCUAUGCGUGUCAGAGUGAUAGCGUCAAUGAUUUGUUCCCACCUCUACCCAGGGCAACCAUUCACUGAUGACAACACAACCAUAGACAAUUUUUUUUUUUACUUUUUUUAGACUAUUAAUUAUUUAUUCUACUGAAUUUCGUGCAAAUAUUUAUCACGGUGAUUUUAUUAGUAUUAUUAUUUAAAUAAUAUAUCUAACUAUAUUUCAUAAAGAAUAUAAUUUAUUUUUUAAUAACAAAAAAACGAUCCGCGUUUUAAAUAUAGCUUUUUAGCUUGCAUAUACGGUAUUUGGUUGUCCGUCAACUUCUUCUUAUUAUUUAUAGGAUACUCAAAUAUGAGUUACAUUGUGGAUCAUUUAUUCCCAGCAUUGAGAGAAGAUGCUUCUGAUGAAUUCAGUCAUUUUUCAUAUUGGCGAGAUCCAAUUCCAGAAUUGCCAAAUCUCAAUGAAUUACUUAUUGAAAA